UACGUAGGUGGCGAGCGUUGUCCGGAUUUACUGGGUGUAAAGGGCGUGUAGGCGGGAUUGUAAGUCAGAUGUGAAAUACCGAGGCUCAACCUCGGGGCUGCAUUUGAAACUAUGAUUCUUGAGUGUCGGAGAGGUGAGUGGAAUUCCUAGUGUAGCGGUGAAAUGCGUAGAUAUUAGGAGGAACACCAGUGGCGAAGGCGACUUACUGGACGAUAACUGACGCUGAGGCGCGAAAGCGUGGGGAGCAAACAGG
rnacentral:rRNA from 1 species